GACGAACGCUGGCGGCGUGCUUAACACAUGCAAGUCGAACGGAAAGGCCCUGCUUUUGUGGGGUGCUCGAGUGGCGAACGGGUGAGUAACACGUGAGUAACCUGCCCUGGACGGGGGGAUAACUUCAGGAAACUGGGGCUAAUACCGGAUAGGAGCGCCUGCUGCAUGGGGGGGGCUGGAAAGUUUCGGCGGUUGGGGAUGGACUCGCGGCUUAUCAGCUUGUUGGUGGGGUAGUGGCUUACCAAGGCUUUGACGGGUAGCCGGCCUGGGAGGGUGACCGGCCACAUUGGGACUGAGGUACGGCCCAGACUCCUACGGGAGGCAGCAGUGGCGAGUAUUACACAAUGGGCGGACGCCUGAUGAAGCAACGCCGCGUGCGGGAUGCCGGCCUUCGGGUUGUAAACCGCUUUCGCCUGUGACGAAGCGUGAGUGACGGUAAUGGGUAAAGAAGCACCGGCUAACUACGUG
rnacentral:rRNA from 1 species